rnacentral:rRNA from 1 species
CAGUCGCCGCGGUAAUACGAAGGGUGCAAGCGUUACUCGGAAUUACUGGGCGUAAAGCGUGUGUAGGUGGUUGUUUAAGUCUGUCGUGAAAUCCCCGGGCUCAACCUGGGAAUGGCAGUGGAUACUGGCUCGCUAGAGUGUGUCAGAGGAUGGUGGAAUUCCCGGUGUAGCGGUGAAAUGCGUUGAGAUCGGAAGGAACGCCCGUGGCGAAAGCGAGGUCCUGGACGUCUGCUGACGCUGAGACGCGAAAGCCAGGGGAGCGAACGGGAUUAGAUACCCCGGUAGUCCCUGUCUCUUAUAC